rnacentral:rRNA from 1 species
ACGCUGGCGGCAUGCUUAACACAUGCAAGUCGAACGUGAAAGCACUUCGGUGUGAGUAGAGUGGCGGACGGGUGAGUAACGCGUGGGAAUCUACCCAGUAGUGGGGGACAACUACCGGAAACGGUAGCUAAUACCGCAUACGCCCUAUGGGGGAAAGGCUUCGGCCGCUAUUGGAUGAGCCCGCGUCAGAUUAGCUAGUUGGUAGGGUAAAGGCCUACCAAGGCAACGAUCUGUAGCUGGUCUGAGAGGACGAACAGCCACACUGGGACUGAGACACGGCCCAGACUCCUACGGGAGGCAGCAGUGGGGAAUAUUGGACAAUGGGCGAAAGCCCGAUCCAGCAAUGCCGCGUGUGUGAAGAAGGCCUGCGGGUUGUAAAGCACUUUCAGUUGGGAAGAUGAUGACGUUACCAACAGAAGAAGCACCGGCUAAAUCCGUGCCAGCAGCCGCGGUAAUACGGAUGGUGCGAGCGUUAAUCGGAAUUACUGGGCGUAAAGCGCGCGUAGGCGGCUAAGUCAGUCAGAAGUGAAAGCCCCGGGCUCAACCUGGGAAUUGCUUUUGAUACUGCUUAGCUAGAGUUUGGUAGAGGAUAGUGGAAUUCCAGGUGUAGCGGUGAAAUGCGUAGAUAUCUGGAGGAACAUCAGUGGCGAAGGCGACUGUCUGGACCAAAACUGACGCUGAGGUGCGAAAGCGUGGGUAGCAAACAGGAUUAGAUACCCUGGUAGUCCACGCCGUAAACGAUGUCAACUAGCCGUCGGGUCUAUUUACAGACUUGGUGGCGAAGCUAACGCGAUAAGUUGACCGCCUGGGGAGUACGGCCGCAAGGUU